UAGUAGUCUGAUGGAUCGAAAGAUGAAGGGCGAGAAGUUGGAUGGAAAUCUGGAAAAAGGAUUCGACAUGUUGCGUAAGGAUAAUCAACCACAGAGGUCGAGAAGUUCGUCCUUAUCCUCAAAAGGCUAAAAGAGGAGAUAGUGCUUCUAAUAAUUCAGAAGGGCGUCGUGAAACACAUUUUGUGGCUCGUCUGUAACUCCCGGAGGUGAGAACACCUCUUUGUACACGGGGCGAUAUAGGAGUCUAGAAGACUGGCGUGUACCUACA
ncrna:unclassified sequences Clostridiales-3 RNA